AUACGGAGGAUCCGAGCGUUAUCCGGAUUUAUUGGGUUUAAAGGGUGCGCAGGCGGCCAUUUAAGUCAGCGGUUAAAUCGUGGGGCUCAACCCCAUUCUGCCGUUGAUACUGGGUGGCUUGAUUGCGGUCGAGGUUGGCGGAAUUCGUUGUGUAGCGGUGAAAUGCAUAGAUAUGACGAAGAACACCGAUUGCGUAGGCAGCUGACCAGACCGCAAAUGACGCUCAUGCACGAAAGUGCGGGGAUCGAACAGGAUUAGAUACCCUGGUAUUCCACGCCGUAAACGAUGAUGACUAACCGUCGGCGAUAGACAGCCGGUGGCCAAGCGAAAGCGAUAAGUCAUCCACCUGGGGAGUACGUCGGCAACGAUGAAACUCAAAUGAAUUGACGGGG
rnacentral:rRNA from 1 species